AAACUCUUGAUCAUCAAAAAACAAAGUAGAGGUCAGUUCAACCACAUUACUCUGUUACUCUAUAUUGUAUGUGUAACAAUUUAUUUGCUUGGAAUUACUGGUCAAGUUGAGGAAAACACUCUUUGUACAUCAGUAAUUAUCACAUUUCUGGAUGCAGGGAGGCUGGUGGGUGUUGGCAUGUUGGGGAGUGUCACCAGUUCUCAUCUCCACAGAUCCUCUAUCUGGAGCCAACGCCACAACGCCAUUACGCCCACGAGGCUGCAACUCGCCGCGCCGCUGACAGCGAUGUUGCAACAAGCGUUUAGACGGCGAGGAAAUCAUUCACCAUUAACCACGCGGCCGCGGAGGAGACAGUCGCGAUAAGGCCUCGCCGGCGCCCCCCCCCCACCUCCCUCCAGCGUCUGUCUCACGCGGACUCUCUGGCUUCCUCACCUCUGCUUUGCUUCCGUGCCUCGGAAUGCCAAUUAGGAAAUGUCCUUCACGCAUUCCUGUUGAGCGCCUCCGCGGGGAACUGGCAGAGAGCGAGGGACGCGAGGAGGAAAGCGCCGGUAAGACUCUUACAAAGAGCAUAUUGCUGGAUGUUUAGUAUAAUACCUUCUUUCAAGAGCUUUUCUCUGGAGAAUUGUUCCAAGAGCCCAAGCUAAUCCUUCCCUCGCCACGUGUGGGUCGGAAUCAGCAUCAGUCCAUCAGUGGUAAGAUGAGAUAAUCUCCCCUCAUGUCUCUCUUCUCGAUUCCGCUCCAUCAGUGUCUUUACUGCACAAUGGAAACACACCCUUCAGAUCCUUGCUCUGCAGCAGGCGGCCGGCGGCUAAACGUUAGCAUUUUCUCCCGAUUCCGUUCAAUGGCGCCCGCCGGCAGAGAGGCGGGAGGAGGAAGGGGGGUUUUCCCGCGUCGACUCUGCGCCGGGGAGGGGAGGGGGGCUGGGAUUGGCCCAUUGUUUGCACGUCCAUCUGCGCUGCUGGCCCAAAGCAAUGCUUUUAUCGCGUUGGAUCAUCAAAGUUUCCAGGACAUUUUGAGGCAAAUUACUUUUUGGACCAGAAUGCAACAAUAACUCCUGAAUUGUUGGACCUCAUUCGGGGUCCCCUGAGGAUGAAAUUUUAAUACGUUUGGCCAUUUUCCUCUUACGACUCCUUCUUUGGUGAAAUGUCUCUAACAACUAUUGGAUGGAUCACGAUGCAGUUUGUUAAACUAUUGCUUGUGCAGAUAUUUUGACCCAGAUAGUCGUGGUUUCCAGGAAAUAAAUCCAACUGGAUGCAGCGAAUCCCUGACUGCUCUCUUGAGGACUAUUCAUUGGUUCAAAAGUUUUCAUUCGCUCGCUCCAAUCAGCCUCGGCUGUGCUUUGUGUUUUUUUUUUGCUAAAUAACAUACUUACUAACAUAGUAAACAUUGUGCCAGCUAACAUUCAGCGUUCAUUGCCAUUGACGGCCUUCCCGCAUGCAGACGUUAGCAUUUAGCGCUGUUAUUUGUGAUCAAUAAAAAAAUAGUGCAAUAAAGAAACACAUGUACACUGUAAUAUUAUUAAUAGACUUUCAUGAUGAAUCCAUUUGGUAUUUUUUUCAUUCACUUCACAUUUUUUAUUUAUUAAUCAUUUUUGAUGGAAUAACUUGCAGAGGUGGGUCGAUGUUUUGCCGUCACAUGAGUUGAUCGUGUUUCCUGUGAAAUUAAUCAGCCCGGUCGCACAGGAAUGAAUGUGGGGCUGAGAAAAAGAAGGAGAACUAAACUAAUGAAAAAAGGAUUCGCACAUCAUUGCCUCUGGGACGCUGCGAGGGGUUUUUCCGCUCAGCUAAACUGAGACUGCGGUCGCGGUAGAAUCGCCGUGGCGCGUUAGCAUUUAGCAUUUAGCUCAGAGUGGCGCCGCACUGUAUCUCCUUCACAUCGCUUCGCCGUUUCCCUGAUCGUACGCGUUGGAACAGACAGCGCACGCCGCCAUUCGAUCCCGUAUGUCCCUCCGCAGAUUAGGACAGGAUUACCCCGGUAAAUACAUGUGAUGCUGCUUCGCCACAGUUAAUUUCCCUGUGGAUGAGCGAAGAGAGUUGAGUUACACAGCGAGCUCCCCGAACUGCCUCAACUCUUCCCUCCGUCCCCUGGACGUGUUUGGUAUGCAAACGGCGAGACCGUCCCAGCGGCCUGACGCGCGGCCCCCCGGUGAUCGAGGUUUGCGAAGGCGUCUUUCCAUUGAGCGGCGAGCUCAUCGCACCGUCGCGGUUCCAAUCAUCCUCGCCAUCGCUCCUGCAACAAUGCGACUGUGGCGAGAGAGACGACUCGGAUGGACUCGAAGCGCAGCUGAUUAGCGCGGCGUGAAGCUAACCCCCGUUGAGGCGGUGGGUUGUGGGGAGGAGGCCACAGGAGAAGCUGGAAUCCCGUGUAAUUAUCGCUCCCUGUGGAAAUUAAGCCUGACCUUUUUCUAAGUUAAGACCCGCUAAUAGAAUCCGGAGGAGGAAUAACUCACUCACAUAUGCGCUGGCAAAACGCACCGUCAGCAACGCUUCGGGCGGGACGUGAGGUUGCAAAAGGUCCGGGCUGAGUUUUCCAUCCUACUUGAUGAUCCGAGUUUGCAGGCGAGAAAGUGAAAAACGGCACGUGGGCACGCGGGCAGGGGCCGAACGCGGCGACGCACAACUUCUGGUGCUGCGGGCUUUUAACAAGCGGCGGCCGCUUUGGCGUCGGCCGAAUCGCCGCCCAUGCAUUUCGUGGGAAGCAUCUCAGCGAGACACUUCCUGGAUAAUUAUUUGACAGACUGCAGCGGCCGUGUUAGACCUCACAUUUUUUAAUUGGCCCGGCAGAAAGUGCGUUCGAAGGGAGGCUUCCGCUCCAGAGGUCCACUCUGUGUCAAGAUGAAUUCUUAAUUUGGAGUAAAAUGUGUUCCUAUAACCUCCGUCCACCCGGCACGCACGUGUCCCGGUUUCUGCAAAAUCUGCAAAGCAUGCAAGCAAAAAAAAAAGCAGAUCCACACGCAUAUAAAACUACCAGUAUUUCUGCCCCCAGCGCCCACGAUUCUCUGAUGAUUACCCUGAGUGUGGUUUAAUGGAAACCCCCAAUAACCCAGUAUGGAGAACACGCUGCCACCGCGCACACACACACACACACACACACACACACACACACACACACACGGAGGGAAGCUGGAGAGCAGUGCUGUCAGACGCAGACAGAAAGAGGACGGAGAGAUUAAAUUCAGCCGAGAGUUUUUUGUCUGUGAGAUUGGUUCCCAACGUCCCCGGCUCCCUUCGCGCUCCCUAUUAGUGGAGACGAGGAGACGAAGGGCGGGGAAAAAAAUAGGCAGCUUCAACAGAGACACCACUCGGAGGAUACUUAACAAUGUUAUUAAUCCAUUAAUCCUUGUUUGACAUUUGCCAAUGUAUCACCCCUGAUUGCUCUUUCUUUAAAAGCUGCAGGCUACAGUAGUGUGUGUGUGUUCUCUUCUUUUUUACCUUAUUAGUUCCUACUGUCCUCGCAGCAAUGGGAAGGUGAUGGAAACCCUGCAGCAUGGCGGGGGCCUGGCAGCGGGCAGGGGGCGCGGGGGUGAACGCGGCGAAUGGUUCCUGCUGCUCAGCGCCGAAGCUGAACGGGGAGAUCAGAGAGCCGGUCGAGUCGAUUUGGAGAAAGCUUUGGUAAUAUCUAAAAGGCGUUGCAUGCAUGGAUUAAGUGGUGUGUGCCGAUGGAUCCUGGCGUUGUUUACGUGUAUUUACUGUCUCAUAUGCAGCAUGUUCUCCUCCUGCUGCUGUUUUCUUCUACUACUUUUGUUCCGCACACAACAAAGUGAUGUGUGGAUGCAAAACGUUGCAACGCUCAUCACGCACACAUUCUCUUUUUCUCCCCCUUUUCUUUGCAAUCAUUUAAAAGAAAUGAAACAACAAGCGUCUCCGAGAGGCUUUGGUGCGACAUGUCGCAGUGUGUGUAUGAGGCUCACGUUGUUAAAAGAUAAUCAGGGCUGUCUGUGUGUGUGUGUGUGUGUGUGUGUGUGUGUGUGUGUGAGGGGGGCACAGUCAGGGGAAGGGGCGCUUUAGAAAAUAGAAAAUUGAAAGCUCCCUUGUAAUCUUGAACCCUCUCACCUCUCCAUCCAUGUCCUGAUAUCAGUACACACACACACACACACACGCACACACACACACACACCUUUCUGCGACUGAAGAAAGCACACAACUCCCUUCUCUCUCGCCCGCCGCUCCCUGAAGCCCCGAACACACGCCGCCGAAAACAAAAAGCUUAGUGAUGGCGUUUGGUUUCGUUAUCGGCUUCACCUCUGUCGAGGAAUGACGGGUCAAACACUCACACACACACACACACACACACAGACACACACACACUUGAUGUGUGGCGUGUGUGUAGCGCUGACAGCUGAUCGCCCCAAAACGCACCUGUUUAACUGACUGACACAAGAUGGCCGCCGGGGGGGUAGGGGGCGGAUGCGAUGACGCAAUACGCACAAUAAUACAGCUUGAUAUGAAAACCAACUAAUCAUAUUCUUCAUUGCAAAUGAGGUUCCGGAAUGUUUACAGCUCCCGACCACGUCACGUCUUUCAGGGAGGGGGUGCAGGGGGGGGGGGCGCCCGGACCGGGUUCUUCGUCUUGGACUUCUUUAAUUGCAGCUUAUCAGCGGCAGCCGCUUUGAUCCGCUCUGAUCUCCACCAUUAAAAACAGCCCCGCGUUUUGAGGAGAGCCGGUUUGGUGUAAACGAUGUUUUAGAAAGAUAAUAAUUGUCUCACAUUUCAUGAAUUCUUCAAAGGAAAUCCAGGACUUCUAACAGGGGGAAGUUCAUCAACCACCUCGAUAGAUAAUUAGGGAACUUUCUGCAAUAGUUUUGACUUCUCUCGCUGUCCUCUCCUGCUUUUGAGAGGCACGUUUGGAUCGAGCUCACUGCAGCGAUAUCGGACGGUUGUCGAUCUCAAAGCACAAUCACGUCCAAUUAGUGCCGAUUAGCACGCGCAGUCACGUAUUUGUCCCGACUGUCCGUCUCCGAUUGGAUGGCGGCGCGUGAUGCUCCGUGUGGCGUUGGAGAGAGAGUGGCCACAAAGCGCUGCAGGCGUUUGCUCAUUAGUGAAAGAACUCAGUUUUUGUGGUGAGCUGCUCCUCUUUAAGUCACCUUCACUCUUCCCAGAUGUGUCACUUUUCAUUCUUCGUGAUCAACUGGAUUUCUCAUCCGUGAUGUUUGUUUUGAGUUGUGUUCUUAUUCGGUUGUAAUCAACACAAAGGGGUAAUCAUUAUCAUAACAUGGCUGCAGAUACAACAGGUUCAGAUUAAAAUACAUCGAUCCGUCCAAACGACCAGAGAAGAAUCAAAUUCCAAUGAGAUUAUGAAAAAAGUGCAAAUCAAAACUAAAUAAGAGUGCACGUCUCCAGAUACCCGGAGGCCAAAAGAGGCCCAAAACACUUUCCUCACACAAAACUUCAAUUUCAGUUCCCCUUUAAUUCAAAGUGCAUAAAUUCAUCUCGAGGGUCCACGGCGGCACCUGCUGACACGCUGUGCCCUUGGUGGCGGACGAUGAUGAAUUGAUCAUCGACCUUGUCCUCUCUGCAAGGGGUGCUGUACUACACACACACACACACACACACACACACACACACACACACACACACACACACACACACACGUAUGUGUGCACAUCUUUUCUCAUUGGCAAAAACCAAAAUAGCAUCAAAGAUAGAUUGUCUAUUUUUACCUCAACGCCGGCUGAUCUUCUCGAGCCGUUACCCACAAUGCACCGAAAUCUGUCAUCAGCGGUGAUCAUUAGGAGCGGCUUUCUGAAAGAGAGCCGGGUGUUAGCGGAUGUAAACGCACCACACACGGAGGGAUCCAGCCAAACAACGGCUCAGUGUGUUGACAGGGCUUUUGUUGGUUUGUUUGUGCCGGUAAGGCGGUGGAAACAGAGCUUCGGCGUGGGCGCCAGUCCACGUCGUCGGCGCUGUAACUGUAACUUGUAGCCCUUUUGUUUUGUGACAGCUCUCUGAUUAUAUUGACAGCUCUGAGGCGUCAUUAAAGCCCCGUCUUUGUGUGGUGAAUAAACACCUGGGAGAGAUGAGACGGGAGAGUCGGGGGGGGGGGGGAGGGGAGCAGAUGAAGUUGACAGACAUGCAGGAAAAAACAUGUCGGCAGGUUUUGCAUCCAGUUUGAAACACAAACAUCAUUGAAAUGCGUGUUAGUAAGACUCGACGUGUGCGAUAUGUGGUUCAAUCCGAUCUGGUCCCAGUGAAUACAUGAGGAAUCAAGUCAAUCACGUCCCACUAACACCAUGUUUCUCACUGAUAAUGAACCUUUCAUCGCAGCCAAUGUGCUGAGGGAAUCUGGUAAUCUUCCCUCUUGAGUUGAGAAGGAAAAAGAGCCAUGUUAAUCUCCUUAUUGUGUGUGUGUGCGUUAGUAUAAAGGAAAGUCAGCAUACCCAAGGCCUCGUGGUGCUGAAUCUUUACAUCACCGUGAGCAUGUGAAGUUUGGCUUAAAGCACAGCGGAGCCUCGAUGGAGCCUCAAUGGAGCCUCGGUGAAGCCUCGAUGGAGCCUCAAUGGAGCCUCGGUGAAGCCUCGAUGAAGCCUCGGUGGAGCCUCAAUGGAGCCUCGGUGAAGCCUCGAUGAAGCCUCGGUGGAGCCUCGGUGGAGCCUCAAUGGAGCCUCAAUAGAGCCUCGGUGAAGCCUCAAUGGAGCCUCGGUGAAGCCACGAUGGAGCCUCGGUAAAGCCUCGAUGAAGUCUCGAUGGAGCCUCGGUGAAGCCUCGAUGGAGCCUCGGUGGACCCUUGGUGGAGCCUCAAUGGAGCCUCGAUGGACCUCAAUGGAGCCUCGUGAAGCCUCAAUGAAGCCUCGGUGGAGCCUCAAUGGAGACUCAAUGGAGCCUCGUGAAGCCUCAAUGAAGUCUCGGUGGAGCCUCAAUGGAGUCUCGGUGGAGCCUCAAUGGAGUCUCAAUGGAGCCUCGUGAAGCCUCAAUGAAGUCUCGGUGGAGCCUCAAUGGAGUCUCAAUGGAGCCUCGGUGGAGCCUCGAUGGAGCCUCGAUGGAGUCUCGGUGGAGCCUCGGUGAAGCCUCGAUGGAGUCUCGAUGGAGCCUCGUGAAGCCUCAAUGGAGCCUCGUGAAGCCUCAAUGAAGCCUCGGUGGAGCCUCAAUGGAGACUCAAUGGAGCCUCGAUGGAGCCUCGAUGGAGUCUCGGUGGACCCUCGGUGGAGCCUCAAUGGAGCCUCGGUGAAGCCUCGAUGGAGCCUCGUGAAGCCUCAAUGGAGCCUCGUGAAGCCUCAAUGAAGCCUCGGUGGAGCCUCAAUGGAGCCUCGAUGGAGCCUUGAUGGAGCCUCGGUGGAGCCUCGAUAGGGCUUGAUGAAGCCUUUGUGCCGCUAGCAUGGCUGCAGACUCCUAGUCCUGUUUCACUCAGCUGGGUUAAAUAAGAAUCCCUGAGUCUGGAAUCCCUAAUUAUGCACAAUUGAGCUCAUAGGAAAAUGUCCAUCCAAUUAUCAAUAUAAAAUGUAUAUUUUGCUGUUGCAUAAUUACAUUCCUGCAGGUUUAAGGUCAGCGUGUAUAAAAUAAAGACUAGCAGCCGUAGUGUGACCUGCACAGAAAUGAGUUGGUAACUAAGAAUGAGCAAAGAGUUUACGACUAUAAACAACUUGCCCUAGGGAUGCAUUCGAGCUGUAAUAAAGUGAUUUUAUUUUGACAAACAGUAGAGCCGAGAUUAUAUUUAUAGCAGCAAAUGAUGGGUUGAGACAAUGCAGCCCACAUUAGAUAUGCAUAGAUUGAGAUAUUAAUACUGUUUUAACCGUAGUUCAGCGCACACAGUGUGCAAGCUGGAAAAAAACAGCUUCCAUGUUGUUCAUUCCUUUUGUCAUGUUUCAUCACAUUAGAAGUCUUUUACUGGAAACUUCUGUUGUAGUGAGCAUUUCCCCAAAAUAAUGCAUUCUAACAGAAGCAGACAGUUAUAAUGGAAACACAUUAUUCAGUUCUUUGUGUAGUUAUUUCGUUGCAUAGAUUAAUAAUAUGGGGGAUCGGAUUUUCCUGAAACAUUGAACAAAAUAAAGGAUGUCGUGAUCAGCAGGGGCGACUCCUCUGGUUACAAAAACAAGUCAGAUGGUGUAGAAGUCUAUGAAUAAAUUACCCCACUUCUCAAUUGAUUUACAACCUCAUUAAACUUUGGAAUCAUGAAUUCAUGGUCUCAACCGCUAUCGUCUUCAAUGCAGCAUUGUGUUGAUUUAGUAAAUUAUUGUCCUUUCAGAGUCAAACAGACCGGGGAAGAGGUCGGCUUUGGGGGCGGGCUCACCGUGAUUGACGUUGCCGCGGCAACUCAACAUCACUCCACCGCAUUCCAAACAAAGGUCACCUCCGUUUACUGGUGGCGAGAAAAAACACCACGAGGACGGCCGUGGUCCAAAAGGGCGAGACGUCCGAAGUGUUCAAAUUUGUGGUUUCAGAGCAGCAGUCAAGCCACCAAUGGGUGAGGUCACCAUGACCACACCCACUUCUCGCAGUCUAUUAAAAGAAACCUGGGCUUGGUCCUUGUCGGCUCCCUGAGAAGGUGGAGGGGUUCUUCCCUGUAGAACAUCGCAAUGAGACAGAACGAGGUCCGAGCUUCAGGUAGAACCAUCUUAACAGGUUGGAAAGGCCGGCUGUUAUCUCACUCUGCUACGUCUUUACAUUACACAUUUUAUGCUCUGAUUAAUUUGGAAUUAAAUGUUCACUACAUUACAUUACAUGUCAUUUAGCGGACGCUUUUAUCCAAAGCGACGUACAAUAAGUGCAUUCAACCAUAAGGUACAAACUCAAGAACAAGAGAACAAGAAACAACAAAGUGCAAUUUCCUCAAAAUAAGCCAAUUUACAAUUUGCUAUAGAUGAGUGACGUUACAAGUACAAUUUAAGUGCUACAAUUUGUUAGUCUUUAGUCGAGGUAGAGUCUGAAGAGGUGUGUCUUUAGUUUGCGGCGGAAGAUGUGAAGGCUCUCUGCGGUCCUGGUGUCUUCAGAGAGCUCGUUCCACCAUUUCGGCGCAAGGACAGCAAAGAGUCGAGAUCUAGUCGAGUGUUUUGCUCUCAGUGAGGGAGGGACGAGUAGUUUUGCAGAUGCAGAGCGGAGAGUGCGGGUCGGGAUGUCGGGUUUGACCAUGUCCUGGAUGUAAGCUGGACCCGAUCCAUUCACAGCAUGGUACGUGAGCACCAAUGUUUAGAACUGGAUGCGGGCGGCCACCAGUAGCCAGUGAAGGGAGCGGAGGAGUGGAGUAGUGUGGGAGAAUUUCGGAAGGUUGAAGACCAGUCGAGCUGCUGCAUUCUGGAUGAGCUGCAGAGGUCGAAUGGCGGUGGCACUAAAGGUUCAUGAUGCCCCCAUUUCGAAAUGUCUAGCAGUCGCUCUGCACGCCAACCUCCGUCAUGGAAACAAUCGCACUAUUAAUACAUUGGAUUUCUGCAAAUGCCGAUGAGCGCGCCGGAGAAGAUAAUGACCACGAUGGAUGGCACUUCUGUAAAUAACGAGGACGACGACGGCGGUCGGCCCUGACAGCGUGGGCGACAAUGACGAUGAUGAGGGGGAAGUGGGCGAAAAUCGGUAGAACAACUCUGACAACGGCUGCAGGUGAUAUCUUGAGUUUUCAGCCUGGCGGCGGCACUUCGGCAGCUCUCUCCCGCUCAGCGCCGCGCGCUCGUCUCCCGAUCUGCAGACGCGGGGGGAUCGUCCCAUCACUUCUGCUGAGUGGGCAGCCAUUCCCUCGUAUCAAUCGGACGCGUGUCAACCCGGAAAGUUUUUGCUGCCAAAGCAGCACCUUUCAGAACAUAUGAGCCGUCCCGAGUGAACCAAUCGCCCCCUCUGUCUCCCCCUUCCCUCCUCGCCCGCCUCCUCCUCUUGCUGCCGCAAAACAGUUUGAGCGAUGAGGGAGAUAAGUGGCGGCGAUGCCUGGAAGUGGGGACUCGGCGCCAGCAGAACAGCGUGUCGGUGUGUUCAGGUGUGCGUCAGACGGAGAGAAGAUGAAAGACCGAAGGGGACGGAUUGUCAGCGGCCCGACGGUGAGGAAAACGAUGGGCGACCCCGCUGUCGUUCGGGUGGACGGAGCGCGACCUCCGGCCGGGCGGGUUGAACGAGCAAAGUCCACUCGCCGACUGCUUUCUCACAGGGCUUCUCGGAGAUGUGUUUCCUCGUUUAGUUCUGCAAAGCAAAACUCAGAAGGAGCCAUGGAGAUGAAAUGGAACAUCGGAGGGAAUCUUCUUUUUCCGCCACUGGGCGACUCGGAGGUCGCGACUUGUUCAUUUGAGCUUCUCUCUGUUUUCUGCUGAGGCUGAACGCUGUGGUCUCUGAGCCAGAUGAAUCAUGAGGAAACCGCACAGCAAGAUCCGUCAUGGAAACGUGGAGGCAGCGUCAUGGUACCCGGUGACUUGCUGUAACGUCAAGCCUCUGUGCGUGCAUGUCAGACGUGAUGGCGUUGUGCUCGGGGCAAGUCAAUAUGACCAACAGAUGCAGUGCAUCUUACACAGAUGCGCUGCCGAAAGGUUGGUUUAAAUAUAACUGCUGUGUGAAAUCAAUGAAGCAGGGAGCCAAUCAGGAGCCCGUUUAAUACAGCGCUGUCAAGACCUUCCAACAAAUCAAGGCGCAAUCGCAUUUUCCCUCCGUUUAAAGAUAUCUUAUGGAAGUAUAUCAAGUAAAUGUCCUCCCGCAAGCAAAAUCAUUCAUUCUUUUUUUCCUCAUUUCUCUUUAGCUUUUGCAGAGCAUCUGUGCGUCCUUCUGGGUCGGUGCGGGCGAGCACAUUGAGAACAGACUGGAUGGAAAAAGGGGUCCUGCGUCGCGCCCUUUAACGUCCCCCCCCCUCCCGGGCCGCACCAAUAUAACCAGGGAGCUGCUAAAGUGCAUUUUUCCCAGCGAGGGAGCAGCUCUUCUGCACGCCGCAAUGGAUUGCUUCCUCAUCCUCCUCUUCUGUCCUCCAUCGAUUUGAGCAGCGACGUGUCCUGGAGGCACGUGAGGCGCUGUGUGCGUCCAUCUGCACGGGAUGCAGAACAACUCUCCAUCAGCAAGGACUCAAACACGCACGCGGUCUCUGCCCCUGUUAUUGUUAUUCCCCCUGAAUCUCAUCUCCUCCUACAAUAAAUGUACAUACAGCUUGCAAUAUCUCUUAGGCGGUAAUUUCUCUGCACCAUAAAAUGAGUCAUUUGUCUCCUCUUUAUUUUUCCGUCUCUCAGCCAGCGAGGGAGGAGGCGCGCCGCCGCUGAGAUUAAAACCUGAUGGAGGGUGUCUGAGCGAUGUGUGGAGGUGAGUGUGCGCCGUGCGCGUGUUGGUGUGGAAGACAAAGGAAGAACAAAAGGGUGGAGGGACGGACGGAGGGAGGAUUUAAACCUGAAUCUUGGGGUGUCUACCCGAUGUAAAGGGAGGUGCUGGGGAGGAGGAGCGUUAGUGCUGACGGGGCAGCCUCACUCCGGUGAUGUGGACACACACACACACACACACAGACACACAAAGAGGAACUAAAGGCUUCUUUCUGCAUUAUUUAUGAAAUGGCACCAUUAUCUAUUGCCUGCGCUCCGCCUCGGUGGAGGAGCAGUGCGUGUGUGGGCCAGAGGUGUGGACACACAAGCCGUGUGUGCGUUUCUCAUUGAGCUGUGAACGGAUGAAGAAGGCAAAAAAAACAUGUUGCAUAUAAUACGUGAGAGUCAGCGCGGGGGAGCGAAGAAAAGGCCGACGGACCUCAAGACUUGCUGCUACAAAAAAGUUUCAUCAGUUUGCACGACAGAAACACAAGCGCGUGGGCGGAGAGGAACCUGAGGAACACGAUGUUUGUGUUAAGAGAGCGAGGGGCAGUGAAGAAGCCCGGACAGCCGUCAAUGGAACAACGAGCAGAUGUUUACAGAGUCCUUCUCUGUCCUGCUUGUUGAACCAUAUCCUACAAAACUAACAUCGUGCUGAAAGCUUGAAGCUAGAGAUUCCGAAUGCAUUUCAUAGGCUUUUCUGAUGGUAUUAGAGCAAAUCAAGUACACAACCAAUGAAACGUACACAUCAAGCGAAGAGCACCACUAGUCACGAGGAAUAUGUUGAAUAAGAUGCAGCAGCUGGCGGUCUGUGUGUGUAGAUCACUGAGCCCAAUAAGAGACCUCAGUGCCUUUUAAAUUGUCGUGCUCACAGAGGAAGGAGGUUGUAAAUAGUGCUGAAAGGAUGAACAACACCCCCGAUUCUCCACAAAAAAACCACACAAAGGG
ensembl:lncRNA